CUUUCUGAGACAAAGGAUCCACUCCGAGACCAACCACACCUGAAGAAAUGCUUUGAAGGAAUUGCCAAGCUCACUUUUAAUCAUGAGAAAGAAAUUACUCACAUGGAGUCAGCAGAAAAUGAAAAAGUAGAGCUCGUGCUGCGAAUAAUUCCAGCAAGUGCCAAGGGGCUAGUUGAGAAAUGGCUUCAUGAGG
ensembl:misc_RNA